UACGUAGGUGGCAAGCGUUGUCCGGAGUUAUUGGGCGUAAAGCGCGCGCAGGCGGUGCGGUAAGUCUAUGGUGAAAGCGCUCGGCUUACUGGGCGAGGCCGUGGAGACUGCCGGACUGGAGGGAGCGAGGCGAGUGGAAUUCCGGGUGUAGUGGUGAAAUGCGUAGAGAUCCGGAGGAACACCAGUGGCGAAGGCGGCUCGCUGGGCUCAACCUGACGCUGAGGCGCGAAAGCGUGGGGAGCGAACGG
rnacentral:rRNA from 1 species